rnacentral:misc_RNA from 1 species
UUUUUUUUUUUUUUGAGAAAAAUAGCAGGUUUGAGCAGUAUGGAACGGGAUCUACCCCAAUUUGAUUUCAAUCUGAUUCAAGAAGAGAAAAAGAAAGCAAUCCUAUAAAAUGUUUGAUUUUUAUUUGAGUUAAUGUUAGUGAAUAAAUACAGAAAACACAUCCUUCAACUAUUAUUACUCUUUCUAGUCUACCCUCAAAAAGCCCUCAGGACUAGUGUGGCAGGAUGCCAACGAGCUAUCGUAUGCCAAGUCUCCCCCAUACAGCCCCAUCUUUCAUUGUUUGAUUACUACAACAAAGAGAAAAUGCUGAGAUCAAUGCUACCUUAUUGGAAUUAAAUGGCAUUAGUUUUUUCUUUUAAGCAAGGUUGAACGAAGUGCUCAUCUUCUUUUGGUAGCCUCACUUGCCAGCAAUUUUUUUUCUUUUCCUUUAUCUGCUUCAUUGCCAGCUGAUUUAUGCUCUUUCCACUCGAUUUCGCAGCACACAACUCUUUAGAAAAUGACUGCAAGCCAGCUUUCAUUCUCAUCUAUAAGUACUACACAUUAAUGCUAAUCAAGAGCACCAAACAUCUAAGAAGAAUAAUAAAAUUAACCUGCUGAAUUCAGUUAAGCAUAUAACAAGAAGGAUAAGAAAAAUAUACUAUUAUAUCUUUGCAAAUAUCUUAUGUAAAAUGGGAGAAAGAAAUUACUUGAUCAGCAACAUCCCAGCAGCCAGAGUAGGACCAUUGGGGAGAGAGGAUGGGAGAAAGAAAUUACUUGAUCAGCAACAUCCCAGCAGCCAGAGUAGGACCAUUGGGGAGAGAGGAUGGGAGAAAAAGAAGUACACUUCUUUUUUCUUUGACUUUUGUUGGAAGCUGUUGGCUGCAUUGUGUUGGAAAGCUAUAAGUGAUUAGAGAACAGCAAAAGGAAAACAUGUCACAUAUCAGGAGAUAUUAAGGGUGUAUGGAUGUUAUCUUAGGAACUGAUUUUGUUUCUUAUAUAAAUAACUCACAUAUUUUAC